rnacentral:lncRNA from 1 species
AAUUUUAAGGAUUUAGUCAUUAUAUCUGAAGAACUGCCUAUCUCCUUGUUUCAAAUCUUCUACAACAACAACAAUAAUAACAACAACAACAACAAUCUAGUAACAAUUCUUCAUAGAAGAUAGCUUAGAAACGGAUCACAAGUGCAAACCAUGUAGGCGGUAGGCGGAUAUAUAGAGAGAUCAAGCUCCUAAAAGCCGAAGCCCCAAGGGCCAACAACAACAACAAUAAUAAAAUCUAGCGACAAUUGCCCAUAGAAGAUAGCUUAGAAAUGGAUCACAAGUGCAAACCACGUAGGCGGUAGGCGGAUAUACACAGAGAUCAAGCUCCUAAAACCCAAGCCCCAGGGGCCAAGCACCAACUAGUUGAGGGUAUAAAGAGAACCAGACUGAUCUUUGAUUUCGGCAUCCCAUUCCCAUUACCAAAUCAAAUUAUGAGCUACUGGUCAACAAACGCUAUCCACAAGGAUAACUACAUGGAAUUUCUGAAAACUGUAGCCUGAUCUUCUUGUCACUUUCUGCAGGAAUGGGAAGGGAAAGUCCUGCGCAUAUGAGGGCAACUUAAUUAGAAAGAAGAUUUUAGCGUUUCUACAGCCUACUCUAUCAACUUGUUCAAAUUCUUAAGCAAUAGUUGAGGGGCAUUAGAUGCUCCGAUGGCCAGAAUCUUCGGUGCUCUCCUUAGCGACCACGGCUAUGGCGAUGAGUCGGAGCCCCAGAUAUCAGCGCUCGUCUUCUUAUUUUGCAUGAUCGUUGCAUCCCUUUCAGUCAUAUCGAUGGUCAUCGUUGCCUGCGGCCAGCAUCCUGACAGGGCUGACAGUGGAAGCAACAACGUUGUCUAUUAUGGGAGUGACAGCCGGAACCCUAAUGCCAAGAACAGCGGUGGUGGUGGAGAUGGCGGUGGAGAUGGCGGUGGCUGUGGAGGUGGUUGUGGCGCCUGUGGUGCCUGUGGAGGUGGUUGUGGCGGAUGAUGUGUUAAAUCCAUGCAUAUAUCAAUACUGGCCGGUAAAUGUUAUUGAUGAUGAAUUCUGCCUACCUCCUUUCUUUCUUUCUUUUUUUCCUUUUCUUUGAGAAAUUUUUUUCAUCUAUGCUCCCAUGAUCGGCAGAGAAAAAUAAUAAGCGAAACAAUUCUAAUGCAUGUGAUCAUUCUUCAGGAAAAGUUAAGAAAGUCUAAUGCUUGUAAUAUUUUAGAUUGCCUUUUUUUUAUGGAAAGCAGGCUAGAUUGUAGAAUACCCAGGAUAAAAAGCUUCAGAAAUCAGCCUAAAUUGAAGCAAAGACAAUAUGAAAAUAACUGCAAAGUUUAAAGCCAAACAAGUAAAAAACAAUAGUUGAAGAAGCGGCUAAUGGAGAUCGCAAAAGAACAGCUAGAUUCGCCUGCAGAAGAAGAAGUGAAACAUCAAAGAAAACCAGAGAAGACUAUCAGCACAGCAGGGUCUAUUGAACCAUUCAGUUGCAUAUUUUGUUGUUUUGGUUUAUCGAAAGAUUUUGUUUGGGACUAGAAAAUGGGAAUACCAUUCUACUAGAUCAUGAUUGGUGUUUUUUUUUUGUUUCUCACAUGGUUAUUGGCAUCCUUUACCACGUAGUUUUGGAAUCUUUUAAGGUCAUGAGCAAGUGGACUUCGUUUUCUAUUCUCGUGGCCACUUCCACUAGACCAACUUGGAGUAUUGCGGUAUCCCUUUCUGAACAAAAGUAUUGC